GAUGAAGACGCAGCGAAAUGCGAUAAGUAGUGUGAAUUGCAGAAUUCAGUGAAUCAUCGAAUCUUUGAACGCACAUUGCGCCCCUUGGUAUCCCGAGGGGCAUGCCUGUUCGAGCGUCAUUUCACCACUCAAGCCUGGCUUGGUGUUGGGCGACGUCCUCUUUGGGGACGCGCCUCGAAACGCUCGGCGGCGUGGCACCGGCUUUAAGCGUAGCAGAAUCUUUCGCUUUGGAAGUCGGGGCCCCGUCUGCCGGAAGACCUGCUCGCAAGGUUGACCUCGGAUCAGGCAGGGAUACCCGCUGAACUUAAGCAUAUCAAUAAGCGGAGGA
rnacentral:misc_RNA from 1 species